AUUGAACGCUGGCGGCAGGCCUAACACAUGCAAGUCGAAUGGUAACAGGAAACAGCUUGCUGUUUCGCUGACGAGUGGCGGACGGGUGAGUAAUGUCUGGGAAACUGCCUGAUGGAGGGGGAUAACUACUGGAAACGGUAGCUAAUACCGCAUAACGUCGCAAGACCAAAGAGGGGGACCUUCGGGCCUCUUGCCAUCAGAUGUGCCCAGAUGGGACUAGCUAGUAGGUGGGGUAACGGCUCACCUAGGCGACGAUCCCUAGCUGGUCUGAGAGGAUGACCAGCCACACUGGAACUGAGACACGGUCCAGACUCCUACGGGAGGCAGCAGUGGGGAAUAUUGCACAAUGGGCGCAAGCCUGAUGCAGCCAUGCCGCGUGUAUGAAGAAGGCCUUCGGGUUGUAAAGUACUUUCAGCGGGGAGGAAGGGAGUAAAGUUAAUACCUUUGCUCAUUGACGUUACCCGCAGAAGAAGCACCGGCUAACUCCGUG
rnacentral:rRNA from 1 species